UAUUGGUCAAUGGGCUUACGCCUGAACCAGCCAAGUCGCGUGAGGGAAGACUGCCCUAUGGGUUGUAAACCUCUUUUGCCGGGGAGCAGGGCGGCGGACGUGUCCACCGGUUGCGAGUACCCGGAGAAAAAGCAUCGGCUGACUCCGUGCCAGCAGCCGCGGUAAUACGGAGGAUGCGAGCGUUAUCCGGAUUUAUUGGGUUUAAAGGGUGCGUAGGCGGGCUUUUAAGUCAGCGGUAAAAAUUCGGGGCUCAACCCCGUCCGGCCGUUGAAACUGGGGGCCUUGAGUGGGCGAGAAGAAGGCGGAAUGCGUGGUGUAGCGGUGAAAUGCAUAGAUAUCACGCAGAACCCCGAUUGCGAAGGCAGCCUUCCGGCGCCCUACUGACGCUGAGGCACGAAAGUGCGGGGAGCA
rnacentral:rRNA from 1 species